UCCAGUCAGUAGCAAUACUGACGAAGAUCUAGUGGCGAACGGGUGAGUAGCACGUGAGCAACCUACCCCGAAGACCGGGACAACACCGGGAAACCGGUGCUAAUACCGGAUAUCCCCAUCGAGUCGCAUGGCUUGAUGAGGAAAUGGAUUCCGCUUCGGGAGGGGCUCGCGGUCCAUCAGCUUGUUGGCGGGGUAACGGCCCACCAAGGCUACGACGGAUAGCUGGUCUGAGAGGACGAUCAGCCACACUGGAACUGAGACACGGUCCAGACUCCUACGGGAGGCAGCAGUGGGGAAUCUUGCGCAAUGGACGAAAGUCUGACGCAGCAACGCCGCGUGAGGGACGAAGGCUUUCUGAG
rnacentral:rRNA from 1 species